rnacentral:rRNA from 1 species
GCAAGUCGAACGAUAAAGUCCUUCGGGGCGAGUAUAGUGGCGCACGGGUGAGGAACGCGUAGGUAAUCUACCCUCCGGCGGGGGACAACAUUCCGAAAGGAAUGCUAAUACCGCAUAUGACCACGCUAACUACGAUGAAAGUAGUAAAAGGCGCCUCAAAGCGCCACCAGAGGAUGAGCCUGCGUCGCAUCAGCUUGUUGGUAAGGUAACGGCUUACCAAGGCUAAGACGGGUAGCUGGUCUGAGAGGAUGAUC